UACAGAGGGUGCAAGCGUUGUUCGGAAUCAUUGGGCGUAAAGGGCGUGUAGGCGGUCUGUUAAGUCAUGUGUGAAAUCCCUCGGCUCAACCGGGGAACGACGCAUGAAACUGACAAGCUAGAGUACCAGAGAGGGGGGUGGAAUUCCCGGUGUAGCGGUGGAAUGCGCAGAUAUCAGGAGGAACACCAAUAGCGAAGGCAGCUCGCUGGGACGUUACUGACACUGAGGCGCGAAAGCGUGGGGAGC
rnacentral:rRNA from 1 species